rnacentral:rRNA from 1 species
AUACGGAGGGUGCAAGCGUUGUUCGGAAUCACGGGGCGUAAAGGGCGCGCAGGCGGUUUGGUAAGUCAGAUGUGAAAGCCCACGGCUCAACCGUGGAAGUGCAUUUGAAACUGUCAGACUUGAGUACUAGAGGGGAAAGUGGAAUUCCCGGUGUAGAGGUGAAAUUCGUAGAUAUCGGGAGGAGUACCGGUGGCGAAGGCGACUUUCUGGCUGAAUACUGACGCUGAGGCGCGAAAGCGUGGGGAGCAAACAGGAUUAGAAACCCCAGUAGUCC